UACAAACCUUCAGCUCCUUAUGUAAGC
rnacentral:piRNA from 1 species